AAGCGUGGCGAACGGGUGAGUAAUAGCAAGGAACGUGCCUUUUUCCGGGAAAUACCCAGCCGAAAGGUUGGCUAAUGUCCCAUAGUCUCCUGCCUCGCGUGACGCAAGUCAAGGCGGGCGCAAGAGUAAAGCUCCGGCGGAAAAAGAUCGGCCUUGUUCCUAUCAGCUAGUUGGUGAGGUAAUGGCUUACCAAGGCUUCGACGGGUAGCUGGUCUGAGAGGAUGAUCAGCCACAUGGGGACUGAGACACGGCCCUAACACCUACGGGUGGCAGCAGUUGGGAAUAUUGCACAAUGGGCGACAGCCUGAUGCAGCGACGCCGCGUGAAGGAUGAAGGCCUUCGGGUUGUAAACUUCUUUUUUGUGGGACGAUUGUGACGGUACCACACGAAUAAGGACCUGCUAACUACGUGCCAGCAGCAGCGGUAAUACGUAGGGUCCAAGCGUUGUCCGGAUUUAUUGGGCGUAAAGAGUAUGUAGGUGGCUUGGAAAGUUGGAUCUUAAAGCCCCGGGCUCAACCCGGGUUCUGGAUUCAAUACUUCCUUGCUUUGAGGAUAGCAGGGGCAAGUGGAAUUAGCGGAGUAGCAGUGAAAUGCGUUGAUCUCGCUAAGAACACCAAUAGCGAAGGCAGCUUGCUAGGCUAUCACUGACACUGAGAUACGAAAGCGUGGGGAGCGAACGGGAUUAGAUACCCCGGUAGUCCACGCCGUAAACGAUGCAGACUAGCUAUCAGAAGUAUCGACCCUUCUUGUAGCGUACUAACGCGUUAAGUCUGCCGCCUGGGAAGUACGGUCGCAAGACUAAACUCAAGGAAUUGACGGGGACUCGCACAAGCGGUGGAGCAUGUGGUUUAAUUCGACGGUAAGCGAAAACCUUACCAGGACUUGACAUCUCUAGGACCCGCCGAAACG
rnacentral:rRNA from 1 species